CCCAGGUCCUCUGCCUCAGUUUCCCCUCUCUCUGUUUGUCUCUUUUAGACUGGGGCAGGGGCUGUGGGGUCGUAUGAGUCGCAGCACGGAUUGGUCCUACAAUACUCUCAUUGCUAACUUUAGAACUGAGACGCCGCCCCCCUCCUCCCCCACGGCCUGUAAUUCUGUCUCCACUAGGUUUCAGUCCAUCCCUUUCCACAGGCCUGUGCUUCCUCCAUCCACUUUGAAGAGCUGGAUUCCUGUGACGUGAUCUCUGAAAAUGAGCGGGCUCUGGUUACAGGGGUGGUAAAACCCUGGGUAUAUGGGGGGCAUCUGAUUAUCCAUGGAGGUUUGAUUUCUUUCAGUGAGUAGCAGCUGCUGGAUGGGGUGUCAUAUGAAUAAAUUAUAACACACUCGGCUUUAGGGUAACCAGAUGUCCCGGUAUUAGGAGCUUUGUCUUAUACAUGCAGCUGUAGCCCACCCCUCAGAAAAAAAAGUCCCGGUUUUUCACACUUGCUGUCUGGUCACCCUAAUUGGACCAGCACUGUGUGGCUGUGUCUAGACUGGCAAGUUUUUCCGCAAAUCAUCUGCUUUUGCGGAAAAACUUGCCAGCUGUCUACACUGGCCGCUUGAAUUUCCGCAAAAGCACUGACGAUCUCAUGUAAGAUUGUCCGUGCUUUUGCGGAAAUACGAUGCUGCUCCCGUUCGGGCAAAAGUCUUUUUCCGAAAAACUUUUGCGCAAAAGGGCCAGUGUAGACAGCAGAGAUUUGUUUUCAGCAAAAAAGCCCCGAUGGCCUAGUAAAGGUUAAUUCAGCUCUGUGUCGAGACGUAGGAUCAGAGCUAUGGACGAAGAGCCAGACCAUCCCUCAAAUGCGUAACCCCUUUUGAGAUGUACGUUUGCAAAUGUUUGGCGCUCAGAUCACGACCUUCAUCUGAUAACUGCCUUGAUAAGUGAGUAGGGAGAAGUUUUACAUCAAAUCUGGCCAGGACAUAGGUUACUACCGGCUAAUAGUAUAAGCCAAUUGAGUAUAGAACAAUUGAUAUUAAUAUGUCUCAGCUCCAAACGGAACGCCCCAGGAAAAAGGAACCAUUCUGGUAUCUAGCCUUUGUGACAAUGACAUUCCUGUACUUGAUACAUUGGUUUUUUUUAAAAGCUCGUUCCCUGUAAGGGUGUGUCUACAUAGCACCCUAAAUUCAAAAUAAGCUACGCAAUUUGUGCUAUGCAACCUGCGUGGGUUAUUUCGAGUCUAUUUCGAAAUAACAUGCUAUUUCAAGCUAUCCCUUAACUCUCGUGCAAGGAGGUUUGCAGGGAUGGUGAAAUAGCAUGCCUGUUAUUUUGAGAAAUAUUUCAAAAUAGCAGGCGUGUUUCUAAGAGGCAGGGUGGCUAUUUUGGGACACUUCGGUAUCCUGAAAUAUCUCUGCUGUGUAGACGUAGCUUAAGGGUCUUGUCAGGGUCGACUGUCCUGGGCAAAUGAUAAUAAAAAGCUUGGGAUUGUUUUCAAACCAAGGUGGUUUGUUUUCCCCCCCUUUAAGUCACAGGGAAAUUGUUAACACAUGGGAAAUAAUGCAGCAGGCAAGUGGACCAUUGCGUAUAUAAAGGGAUCGAAUGGGACUUUCGUUUCCUCAUUUGUAGUAGCCAUGUUGGGUCCGGGAUGUGAGAGACACCAGGAGUGUGUAUGUGGGGGGGUCAGGUCAUAUCUUCUAUUGGACCCCCCCUUUUGACGGUGAGAGAGACAUGCUUUCUGGCUAUUGGUCCUGACCUUGUCUCUCACCUUCAUUUCAUAGCACGUGAGAGGGGAAUGAAUUCAGGUGGUGAUUAAUUCACUUCAGGACAAGGAGUAAUGGGCUUAAAGUGCAGCAAGGGAGGUUUAGAUUGGACAUUAGGAAAAAAUUCCUGUCAGGGUGGUCAAAUAUUGGAAUAAAUUGCCAAGGGAGGUGGUGGAAUCUCCCUCUCUGGAGAUAUUUAAGAACAGGUUAGAUAGACAUCUGUCAGGGAUGGUGUAGACGGAGCUUGGUCCUGCCUUGAGGGCGGGGGGCUGGACUCAAUGACCUCUCGAGGUCCCUUCCAGUCCUAUGAUUCUAUGAUUCUAUGAUUCUAAGCUUUGCCAGAAUGGAAGCCACUUUCCGACUUCAUAAGCGUGUCCACACAGGAGUUUAAUGAGGUUGAACUACUCCACUUUAAAAGUGAACUUGGAUUUGUAUUCCCCUCCGCCCCCAGUUUAGGUCUACACUUCUGCAUUUUGUGUAGCUUUUUCCGAUUUUUUUCGGAAGAGGUUUUUCCAAAAUGUGGCCUUUCUACCCUGGGCCAAAGUUCAGAAAAUCCCCCUCUUUUGGAAGAUCCUUUCUUCCUCAUGGAAUGAGGAAAACAGGGCUACCGAAAGAAUGCAUUUGCACUUCUGCAAAAUAAGCGGAAACACAUUCCCCAGACACGGCAGGGGUUUUCCAGGAUAUCUCUGGUAUCCUGGAAAAACCCCGCCAUGUAGACAUAGCCUCGGGGUUCUAGUGUCAUGCAAUUUGUUGCAAACUCUCCCCCAGAAGGAAGCCGGAGAGCAGAGCCAUUUACCAUCUAGGGUUUGUUUAGUAUUUUUUCCAUUUCUUUAAUAAUAAAGUCGUUGUUGAGAGCCCUGAGUUGUUGGCUUGCCUCUAAUUGGGCCACUCCUGAGGGUGUGGGGAGAAGAACCCCCCUAGGAUAGAAACAGGGUAUGUGGUGGCGAGGGGCGUCACCCACGCACACACCCAAGCUGACAUGCAGAGACGGUUAUUAAGAUUUGGUUCCUGCCCGUAUUUCGUUUCCCAAACGGUGUUCCGCAGAACCCCGGGGUUCCGUGAAGUGACAAUAAGGAUUCUGCGAGAAAAUUCCAUUACAAUCCCAUUUUAUGAUUUAAAGAAAAAUCAUGUUUUUAAAUAUGGGCAAUUAAACUAAAUGUUGAUCUCAUGGCCUUGUUUAGCCUUUGUUUAUGAUUAUCCUUACUUAUUUUGUGGUCUACUUUUUCAGCUCCAUAUGUCAGCCUCUUAUUAGAGGUUCCGCAAAAUUCUUUAAAAAAGGGUUCCAUGGCCAAAUAAAAUUGGGAAACACUGCGCUCGAGACGAUGAUUUUAUAAAGCCCUGCUACAGGCCCCAUCCUCACGAUGGAGGCAGAGGGAUUCCUGCAGGUGCAGUGUUGGGAUGGACCAGCAGGAGGUGCUAUGUGGGGAAGAGGAACUUGCCUGGCUGUUACACGACUGCCCUCGCAUCAGGGGCUGACCUAGCCUAGACAGACAUCCGUGAACUUCAGCCUUGCAUCUCCUGAGAUCCCCUGAAGGGGACAGAAGGGAGCUGGGGCUUUUGGGCCGGGUCUGCCCUUGGUGGGCCCUGCUGAGUCUGCCAACUUGGGGGUUGGGCCAUGCCAAUGGGAGAGGCAGUUACACCAUUACAAACUGGAUCCACCCCACUCAUGCCUCCCACAAACAGAAUGUCACCUGUGCCACUAAGCCACACUCACCCCGCGGCCAUUCCCAGCUGGUCUCCAGGCCCAACACAAACACCCAGUGUGGGAUAAAGCACCUCCCAAAAGGAACAGAACCCAGGAGGCCUGGUUCUGCUCUAACCACUAGACCCCGCUCCCUUCCCAGAGCUGGGGAGAGAACCCAGGAGUCCUGAUGCCCUCUUGCUCUAACCACUAGACCCCGCUCCCUUCCCAGAGCUGGGGAGAGAACCCAGGAGUCCUUUCAGAGGAGGAGAGUCAUCCUUUUAAGGUCUGGGGGACUCUCCGCCCCUCCCUUUCCUUUCCACUGUGGCGUGUCACAGAGAGGAAAUCGAAAGUUAAGCGAGUGAAAAUCUGGUUUCAUUUCUCCCUGCAAGGCUGCUCUGAUCCGACCCACUUGCAGUGGCAGAACUGGGCUCCUGACAGGGAGAAUUCCUUUGCCCGUGGUGGAGGCAUCUUCAGUCUCGGCAUGGAGCACUUGGUUACAAGGGACCUGACAUUAUCCUUCCGAGAGAUCCUGAAGAAGAAGAUGGAGAUGGAGCAGCUGGGCCUAAUGAAGGAAGGUUUGGCGGCCUGUUUUAGCAAAGCCUUGGAGCUGAAGGACGAGUCCCAAGGAAUUGAUGACGAAUUCUGGGAGAGAGCCACGCUCAUCAUCCAAGCAGAUGGGAUGUGUCUGG